UCGGGAAUAUUGCGCAAUGGAGGAAACUCUGACGCAGUGACGCCGCGUAUAGGAAGAAGGUUUUCGGAUUGUAAACUAUUGUCGUUAGGGAAGAAAAAAGACAGUACCUAAGGAGGAAGCUCCGGCUAACUACGUGCCAGCCGCCGCGGUAAUACGUAGGGAGCAAGCGUUAUCCGGAAUUAUUGGGUGUAAAGGGUGCGUAGACGGGAAUUUAAGUUAGUUGUGAAAUCCCUCGGCUUAACUGAGGAACUGCAACUAAAACUGGAUUUCUUGAGUGCAGGAGAGGAAAGUGGAAUUCCUAGUGUAGCGGUGAAAUGCGUAGAUAUUAGGAGGAACACCAGUGGCGAAGGCGGCUUUCUGGACUGUAACUGACGUUGAGGCACGAAAGUGUGGGGAGCAAACAGG
rnacentral:rRNA from 1 species